rnacentral:rRNA from 1 species
GAUGAACGCUGGCGGCGUGCCUAAUACAUGCAAGUCGAGCGAACAGACGAGGAUCUUGCUCCUCUGACGUUAGCGGCGGACGGGUGAGUAACACGUGGAUAACCUACCUAUAAGACUGGGAUAACUUCGGGAAACCGGAGCUAAUACCGGAUAAUAUAUUGAACCGCAUGGUUCAAUAGUGAAAGACGGUUUUGCUGUCACUUAUAGAUGGAUCCGCGCCGCAUUAGCUAGUUGGUAAGGUAACGGCUUACCAAGGCAACGAUGCGUAGCCGACCUGAGAGGGUGAUCGGCCACACUGGAACUGAGACACGGUCCAGACUCCUACGGGAGGCAGCAGUAGGGAAUCUUCCGCAAUGGGCGAAAGCUUGACGGAGCAACGCCGCGUGAGUGAUGAAGGUCUUCGGAUCGUAAAACUCUGUUAUUAGGGAAGUACAAAUGUGUAAGUAACUAUGCACGUCUUGACGGUACCUAAUCAGAAAGCAACGGCUAACUACGUG